rnacentral:tRNA from 1 species
GCGGUAGUAGCUCAGUGGUAGAGCUCCCGCUUCGCAUGAGGGGAGAGCUGGGUUCGACUCCCGACCGCU